rnacentral:misc_RNA from 1 species
AACCGCCGUAUACGUGACCCGUACGUACGGUGGUGUGGGAGGGGAGGAAGUCGCGAGACUCCCCCCUAUCCCGAU